rnacentral:rRNA from 1 species
AAGCGGUCGCGAUGAUGA